GACGAACGCUGGCGGCGUGCUUAACACAUGCAAGUCGAGCGGUAAGGCCCUUCGGGGUACACGAGCGGCGAACGGGUGAGUAACACGUGAGCAAUCUGCCCAUCACUUUGGGAUAACUGCGGGAAACCGCAGCUAAUACCGAAUACGACCACCUCCGGCAUCGGAUGGUGGUGGAAAGUUCCGGCGGUGAUGGAUGAGCUCGCGGCCUAUCAGCUUGUUGGUGGGGUAAUGGCCUACCAAGGCAACGACGGGUAGCCGGCCUGAGAGGGUGACCGGCCACACUGGGACUGAGACACGGCCCAGACUCCUACGGGAGGCAGCAGUGGGGAAUAUUGGACAAUGGGCGAAAGCCUGAUCCAGCAACGCCGCGUGAGGGAUGACGGCCUUCGGGUUGUAAACCUCUUUCAGCAGGGACGAAGCGCAAGUGACGGUACCUGCAGAAGAAGCACCGGCCAACUACGUGCCAGCCGCCGCCGUAA
rnacentral:rRNA from 1 species